AGCAGCCGCGGUAAUUCCAGCUCCAAUAGCGUAUAUUAAAGUUGUUGCAGUUAAAAAGCCCGUAGUUGAACUUCAGGCCUGGCUGGGCGGUCCGCCUCACGGUGAGUACUGUCUGGCUGAGUCUUACCUCUUGGUGAGCCGGCAUGCCCUUUACUGGGUGUGUCGGGGAACCAGGACAUUUACCUUGAGAAAAUUAGAGUGUUCAAAGCAGGCAUUUGCUCGAAUACAUUAGCAUGGAAUAAUAGAAUAGGACGUGCGGUUCUAUUUUGUUGGUUUCUAGAGUCGCCGUAAUGAUUAAUAGGGAUAGUUGGGGGCAUUUGUAUUGCGUUGCUAGAGGUGAAAUUCUUGGAUUUACGCAAGACAAACUACUGCGAAAGCAUUUGCCAAGGAUGUUUUCAUUAAUCAAGGACGAAGGUUAGGGGAUCGAAAACGAUCAGAUACCGUUGUAGUCUUAACAGUAAACUAUGCCGACUAGGGAUCGGACGACCUCAAUUUAUGUGUCGUUCG
rnacentral:rRNA from 1 species